rnacentral:rRNA from 1 species
GAUGAACGCUGGCGGCGUGCCUAAUACAUGCAAGUCGAGCGAACAGACGAGGAGCUUGCUCCUCUGACGUUAGCGGCGGACGGGUGAGUAACACGUGGAUAACCUACCUAUAAGACUGGGAUAACUUCGGGAAACCGGAGCUAAUACCGGAUAAUAUAUUGAACCGCAUGGUUCAAUAGUGAAAGACGGUUUUGCUGUCACUUAUAGAUGGAUCCGCGCCGCAUUAGCUAGUCGGUAAGGUAACGGCUUACCAAGGCAACGAUGCGUAGCCGACCUGAGAGGGUGAUCGGCCACACUGGAACUGAGACACGGUCCAGACUCCUACGGGAGGCAGCAGUAGGAAAUCUUCCGCAAUGGGCGAAAGCCUGACGGAGCAACGCCGCGUGAGUGAUGAAGGUCUUCGGAUCGUAAAACUCUGUUAUUAGGGAAGAACAAAUGUGUAAGUAACUAUGCACGUCUUGACGGUACCUAAUCAGAAAGCCACGGCUAACUACGUG